CCGGGAAGUGCUGGUGGGGCAUAUCUCCGGGGUAUGCGCUCCGGUUUUCUGCGACCGUGUGGGCUCGGUGGGCGGGACCGGCAAAUCCCGGGACUCUCGAAAGACGGUUCCGGACCAGUACUCUCCCUAUCUCGGGUUCCGGCCUUCGUCCCGCAGGACUCCUCACAUCUUACGCCUGCUUAGCCCGCUAUCCUGUCCCACGCGCUUCUUCCCCUGGUAACAGUCCUGUGAGCUCUGCAGGCAAGGAGGGGCUAAUGAGCCCCAUUUCCGGCUGAGGAAACUCAAGCACCUUGCGAGGGACUGAACUAUGUUGUGUGUGUGUUUCUGGUAUCUGGUAUCUUCCUUUGGGUUUUUCCUCUAUAUUAAACAAUUGAAAAAAAGCACUGUUCCCCCCUCAUCCCAUCUAAAACCCGUGCCUCCGAAACCCUCGUUCUGGGCAUCCGGGAAACCCCAUUUUGCUCCCAAAACGCUUGUCACAUUCCACAGCAGGGCCCUCUCCACCGCCCAAGGAACAACAGGGGGCCAACUCCUUGAAGACAGUGAUUUAAUUUCCUCUCCAACAACAAAGCCCCCCAGGGCCAGAAGGCACCCCUGCCCUCCCCCAAUCAACCAGUUCUGCUCUGUGGAAUGGCAACGAAUAGCUGAAUGGUUACCUCAUUUAGAGCCUGCUUGCUUUCUUUUUUUUUUUUUUUUGCGGCACGCGGGCCUCUCACUGUUGUGGCCUCUCCCGUUGCGGGGCACAGGCUCCGGACGCGCAGGCUCAGCGGCCAUGGCUCACGGGCCCAGCCGCUCCGCGGCAUGUGGGAUCUUCCCGGACCGGGGCACGAACCCGUGUCCCCUGUAUCGGCAGGCGGAUUCUCAACCACUGCGCCACCAGGCUUAAAUAUUUAAGAAAUGUAUAAAUGACUGAAAAUCUACGAAAGAACUCUAAAAAACUUCGGGAAAAUGCUAAUGAAACACGAGAAGAAAAAGGCAUUCCUGGAUGACUGAAAACAAGGAAGUAAUUUUCGACUCCCCUUUACGUUCAGAAGCAUCAACAACAUACAAGUCUGUCCACACAGGCCUUGACUGCACAGCAAGCUUCAAAAAAUGUUUGUCACCAGAGCAAGAUAAUUUUUGCAACUUGUGAUAAUAAGAAGCUGGUUUGAUGAAAACCUUGCAGUUGUGAAAAAAAUGAUUUUUUGAAAUUUGUGGUUGAUAAAAAUGGUUUCUCACA